UAUCCUUAACUUUACUCUUUGCUUUAUAAUAUCCCAAAUUACUUAGAAGAAAAAAAAGCCUUUCUGAGUUCUGACCUUAGUAAAACCAAAAACACAAAAACUCAUAUCUUUUAUUUCUUCAUUCUUCAAUUUAAUCGACGAGUUUUCGUUUCAUCAUUUCUUAAUUAAUUUCAUCUUUCUUCAAAUCUUCAUUCCUAGCAAUCACAGCUUCAAAGUUUUUUUCCCUUUUUUUAUUCUAGCUUAUAAUUUCUUCACCUUCAUCUUUAAAAUAUCUCCGAUGGAGGAUCGAUAAACCCUAAAAAAAUUAGGCACCUUAUGGUUCGAUUUGAAGUCAAAUCAAACCUGAAGAUGGCUAUGUGAUCAUUUUUAUUUCGCUUUCUCUUGCAUCACGAGGUGGAUUUGACAAAGCGCAUGCUGCGGCUAGGCAUAUGAUCAAGUUGAAUCAAGUUUCACGUUGAUGCAGAUAUCAAUUUCAACGUCAACAAUUAUGACGAAGAUAUGAAGCGCCUCAAUUUCAAUUAUUAUUCUGAAGAUGAGUAACUUCACAAAGGAAGAGUUUGUUCAUAUUCUGCGUCAACAGAGCACUGGUUUUUCAAGGGGAAGCUCCAAAUACAGGGGAGUUACUUUACAUAAAUGUGGGAAAGACAACUAACUUGCUUUUGCUGGCUAGAGGAAAAAACCGUAAGUUGUGGAGUUACUAAUGCUAAUAGUAUUGAUGAGCUCAACAUUAUAUAGAAGACCUACAUCUCAGGACCAUGGAGGAGCUUGGAGUGGACAAAACUGUUAUUGCAAGUGAGCUACCUUUAAAAUUAUUUUUGGUUACAGUUGGUAGUGAUUGUUUUGUAUUCAACCUUCUUAUAACUUGGACUCAAUUGGAAAGUUAUGGCUAUGCCUUUGUGUGUUGCUCCAAUAGGCUUAGGAUGUUGAACAUGUGUUUGAAUAAAUUAGUAGAAGAAAUUUGAACCUUUUGAGGCCUCAGAUCUCUGCUAUGGCAAGUUCUCAUUUAUCAACAGCUGCUGAGCUAUUUUCAAGACAACGUAAUCCCCCGGUAUGCUCAACCUUAGUUUGGAUUCCUGAAAAUUUUGACUUGAUGGUUAUCUGUUAACUCACUCAAUAGUUUGAAAAAAAAGUUUAUUGUUGAAUAUGUUUUUGCUCAGAGAGACUGAUUUAGAGUUUUUUGUGUUUUUGUAGUCGUCUCCAUUUGAUUCAAGUCUUUUCAUUGAACUUGUUAGGAAAAAUUGACCAAAUUGAUAUGAACAAAAAAAAUGUAACUUUUUGGCUUACUUAUUCUACCGUGAAUUGGCAACAAGAUGAGAUCUGAUACUUGGUUUGUUACUUUGCAUAACCAUGAAGUUACAUGCUUUUGUUCUUUUUGUUCAUACAUUUGUAACAUAUAAGGAAUAAUCGCAUUUGCUGUAGAUUUUGAUAGUGUGUCCCGAGAAAGUUGAGAUCUGAACUCGAGAAUCAGUCACAAUUAGAUCAUGCAUAAUUCAGUAUAUGCUAUUAGCAUUAAGAUAAGUAAUCUGCUUUUCAUGAGUUUCCCAUUUACCUCUUAUCUCCCAUUUUUGUCUGAUUGUAUUGUAUCAGAGGGUUCCAAAUCUAAUUGGGGGCAGUUUUGUCGACUCAAAAUCGUUGACUUUCAUUGAUUUCAUAAACUCUGUAAGUGUAUUUUUUUUGGUUGUAUAUUGAGCAUUAAGCUGUCUCUUUUUUUUGCUGUUUUGAGAAGGCAAACUUCUAAUAUUGAUAUCAUUUGAUAACAGGCAACACAAGGAGUUGUUUCACAAGUUCCUUUUUAUUCUUGAAAGCCCAUUAAGGCUUAUUGAACGUUUUUUUAUUCUUUCGUUUGAGUCUGAUUUAGAAUUUGAAUAAUUGUCAAUAAAUGCUCAUUAAGUCUGAUUGAUAACUUCCUUUCCAGGUGGCUGAAAUGUAAGUUCAAAAGUAAUAUUUUUCUUUCAGCAUUGAAUAACUAGUGGAAGACAAACCUUGUGGGGAAUAAAACUUUCUCAAUACUUUAUCAUGUGAAAAUAAACAAGAAGACCAAGUCUUUUCUUUGUUCUCUUAAUCUAUGAAUUUAGUUCCUAUGGCCAUUCAUUUUCUCUUCAGUCUUAACCAACUUCCUUUGGUAUUGCAUUUGAAUUUAAAUUAAAUGAAUAAGUGACUCAACUUGUGGAUAUUAGACACAUCACACAAAGAUGUUACCAACCACCACAUGAUGUGCCCCUGCUUCAUUUUCGACCAAUGUAUAUGUCCUUCUUCCCUAGAUAUAAUAUUUCUAACCUCUUAUAUAUUUUGUAUUAAACAAAUUAAGGAAUUAAUAUAUUCUCCUUUUGAUGCAGAGCUAAUGUUAUUUCGUUCUUGGUUUUCUUGGCUCCAAUACAAGUAUUUAUAUCUAUCAAUCAACUCUUGUUACUUCCACUUAAUUGAUGAGGUUCAAAAAAAGAAAUAGAGAUUCCCAGAUUUUAGUUAAUAUUAAUUAUUAAUAAAAAUAUAUAUUUUACCUUCCUUGAAUAUUGCCGAUCAACAAUUUACUGAAUAUACAAGAAGAAAUCGAUAGGGGGUUUUAAUCACUGCCUUAAGUGGUGGCACUGUUCAGUUCCAUGCUUUGGUUAUACUAUGCUUUACUCAAAAAAGACGUUCUCCUCAUUACCAUUAACUCAUUUAGAUGUAUGGUAGAGAUCAUUUACAUCAUCUUCUGUGAGUGUCUUUGCAGCCCCACUUAGCAUUGUGGUACGUGAAAACCCCUAGUCAUUGUGCUAAAAAAUGAGGACCUUUUUAUGUCUUGGCAUUAGAGCAGUCUUUGGAUUCAGGAAAAUCUAUUGCCUUUUCUGAUGGUCUUGUUAUUAAUGGCUAGGCUCAUAUUACCUUAAAUGGUGACUAGGGUUAGUCCUAUUAAAAGGAUAUAGCUCAAUUAUUUGUAAAUUUUAAGUGAUCCAUUUUUAGUUAAAAUAAUCUUUAGUGUUUGUAAAUUCAAGUCUUAUCAAUGUUAGAUUACUUCA